AAACACACGCGCACGCGCGCACACACACACACACACACACACACACACACACACACACACACACACACACACACACACACACACACACACACACACACACACACACACACACACACACACACAAACGGACCACUACACUAAGUAGAGGCUUGUUGUAUAGCGACCAAAACAGAAUAAUUCAUAAUUCAUAUAGUCAACACUCCAUGGACAUAGAUCACAUUAGUUCCUUCUCCAUGUGGAAGCCAAACGGCCAAACUUCCUCCUAAUCAGCGGGUCCGGGGGGUCAAAUUAAAGAUGGAAAGAGGGAGAGAGAUGCAUCGGAAAACAAUUUACAGCCAAGAGACAGAGAGACAAGAGCGCAGUGGAGUGGAGUGCUGGCAGACUCUAGUUGGCAAGUAAGUGUUGAGGCUGGGUAGCGGAGCCGGAGCGGAGAGAGCAGACUCCUCAACGCAGCGCUUUUUUGUUCAUUCCCAGCAUGUCUCCGUCAGCCACUCCGCCGUGAUUUACGACUCUCCGGCCAGAAACUCCGCCGUCGCUGAUUGUCCUCCGCCGGCUCACUCGCGGCGAGCGUCUUUGAGAAGGGGAAGAUGGACGGCUCGUGAGGAGGUCUGGAGUGGCGGAGACGAGGCUGAGUGGAGGCUCGAGGUAACGAGCAGCCCUGACCUCGAGUGGCGUUUUCAUAGAUUAGCAUUCUAUUUCCCCGCCACUUGCCGCCUCCGGCACCGGCACCCGCACGCACCCUGGCCUCGGCUCGGACAGACUAUUUACUGGAUGACACCCGGCGCCUCCGCCAUAAACACGAGUGUCUGACCAAGGGAAUAAUGAGACAUGAUUGCACUUUAAGAGCGCUUACAUAGGACUUUAACUUAGUGACAACAUCCCAGAAGAUGGUUGUAAUCAUCGGGAUCCUUUUCGUUAUCCUACGUAGGUUUGGCAGUUUUUUAUUUUGUACUGUGCAGAAACACGGUAUAUGUAUCAAGGUACAAGUAUUAACAUAAUUGCACUGCUUACCUUUUAACCGUUUUGUUUUUAUCAUCAAAGGGAAAUCCCAUAGGGUGUUUGGUUGUGUGUGUGUGUGUGUGUGUGUGUGUGUGUGUGUGUGUGUGUGUGUGUGUGUGUGUGUGUGUGUGUGUGUGUGUGUGUGUGUGUGUGUGUGUGUGUGCGUGUGUGUAAUUGAAUGAGUGCGCACAAUAAUAUAAAGGAAUAAUGAGAGAUAGUCACGUACAUAUUUAGAGAGAAACAAAAUUAAUCGACUUUCUAACGCAACAAAGCAAUAUACCUUCCUUAUCCAUUAGGUGUGCUAAAACCAUGAAGUGCCCAAUUCAAUGGAGAGGUUCUUGUGUCGUUGGAUGUGGUCCAACAACACAAGGACCCAAGAUGAGCAUCCGACGUGAAUCCCCCUGCCAUGUGGGCCGGAACGGGGAAAGGAAAGCAUCACAGUGUGGAGUUGGACCGAGAGGAAAAGCAAGAAACAGGUCAAAGGAAGACAAGUACCAGCGUGUAAUCACAGACUCUGAGGCCAACCCGCGCACAUCCACCAGCCAAAGCCUUCUCCAACCCAUCCAUGAAUCGCCUUUGCCUGGGAUUCCUGGCCAGGACCACUGCCUGCUGGAGCCCAGACAUCCUGCAUAGGACGCCCAUCAAUGGCCGAAUAAUAUAACACAUGGCAAUACAAUUGACUUCAUAUACAGCACGUAAGAAAAUACACACUGGGAUUUCUCACUGGAACUCUUUAACCGAUGCACACAACGACCCAGGCUAUUAUACUGUGUAAUGCUGCAGGGAGAGUGACACUCUAACCGUAGUAAUUACUGUGAGUUUAAUAGGAAUUGCCAGACAAGGAUUCCCAGAGCAACCGCGACAGCUUGGGAGGAUGAAGACCACUUUUCGCCAGGCCUUUGGAGUUUAUCAGAAUGUCUUACAUGCUACUUUAAAUUGUUAUCCACUUUAGAUCACAUUCUUUUUCUGUAGUGACCUGGGAUAAGAAUUAAAUAUUGCAAUCUGUUAUUUAUGAGUUUUAACCAUUUAACUCGCAAUGCUAGUGUCCGGUCAUUGAAAGUUCCUAACAUCGAUCAACCAUUCGUAAACUCCAACUCUUUCAAUAAAGCCUUGGGUUUAUUUAUGUUCUGUCUAGGGCUAAGGAGCAAGCCCUAUAUUUCUUGGUCUCUUUUAGAAGUCCUACACCGAGUGUAAAUCAUACUGAUAUACUAGUAUAGGCAUACCCUGCUUCUUUUUUGUAUCUAUCUACUUAAACUAUGCUAUAUUUUUAGCCAUUUUUACCACAUUUUCAGCUUUUUGUUGUUGUGUCCUCAAUUAAAAACGUCAACAUAUUUUUUGGGCAAUCAAUCGAAUUGAUUGUAUUUAUUUGAUUCUAUUCGAUAGAAGUGCCUUUGACCAAUAGGUCGAUAGCGUAGUUGGUUUGGCACUUUAUCAAAUAUAAACACUUAUGAAAGCUAUAUUGUUAACACAUAGCCUCUUUUUGCACUCACAAAGUUUUUGUUUUUUGCUUGAGUUCCAAAAUCUUGCAAUGUAUUUAAUAACCCUAUGUUUAAAAGACACAAAACGUAACAAUUGACAAUUACAACGUACAUUUUUUUAAUAUCUAAUAUGUAGAUAGAAAAUAAAAAAUGUAACGUAAAUCCUGUAUUGUUACAUUGCUUUUGUCUAAAUUAGCUUAUUGAUUA